rnacentral:tRNA from 1 species
GGGCCCGUAGCUCAGUGGUUAGAGCAGGAGGCUCAUAACUUCUUGGUCGCUGGUUCAAGUCCAGCCGGGCCCACCA